GUAGUCUCGCACAGAUGCAUAUCAAUAAGCGGAGGAAAAGAAACUAACAAGGAUUCCCCUAGUAACGGCGAGUGAAGCGGGAAGAGCUCAAAUUUGAAAUCUUAAAGGGUUUCCCUUUACGAAUUGUAGUUUAAAGAAGUGUUUUCUGUUGAGGUUUUGGUAAAAGUUCUUUGGAAUAGGACAUCAUAGAGGGGUGAGAAUCCCGUAUUUGACCUUUACUUUCAACUUUGUGAUACACUUUCAAAGAGUCGGAUUGUUUGGGAAUGCAGUCCAAAAUGGGUGGUAAAUUUCAUCUAAAGCUAAAUAUUGGCGAGAGACCGAUAGCGAACAAGUACCGUGAGGGAAAGAUGAAAAGAACUUUGAAAAGAGAGUUAAACAGUACGUGAAAUUGUCAAAAGGGAAGCGUUUGACACCAGUGUUGUUUUUCUGAAAAUCAAUUAAAGAACUGUUUAUGCUAAGCUGUUUAGACUUUAUCAGCUAACUGUUUAGUUUUGAGCUUUUCUUUAAUGCACUUUUCAGUUAACAAGUCAACAUCAAUUUCUUUUGCUGUAAAAAAGCUUGAGGAAGGUGGCUUGAGAUUCGUCUUAAGUGUUUAUAGCCUCUUGCCUAUGCAGUCGGAGAGAUUGAGGUCUGCAGCGUAGAUCCUUCGGGGCUAAAUGCAUUUGUGCUAAGUUAUAGCAUUUUAUAGACAACUUGUUGACCUAUGAUUUGUCUUGUCAGCUUACUCGCUUAUGUUAUUUUACCUACGCUUAGGAUGUUGAAGACUCUACAGAGAUA
rnacentral:rRNA from 1 species